rnacentral:rRNA from 1 species
CCUACGGGUGGCUGCAGUGGGGAAUAUUGCACAAUGGGCGCAAGCCUGAUGCAGCCAUGCCGCGUGUGUGAAGAAGGCCUUCGGGUUGUAAAGCACUUUCAGCGGGGAGGAAGGCGGUGAGGUUAAUAACCUCAUCGAUUGACGUUACCCGCAGAAGAAGCACCGGCUAACUCCGUGCCAGCAGCCGCGGUAAUACGGAGGGUGCAAGCGUUAAUCGGAAUUACUGGGCGUAAAGCGCACGCAGGCGGUCUGUCAAGUCGGAUGUGAAAUCCCCGGGCUCAACCUGGGAACUGCAUUCGAAACUGGCAGGCUAGAGUCUUGUAGAGGGGGGUAGAAUUCCAGGUGUAGCGGUGAAAUGCGUAGAGAUCUGGAGGAAUACCGGUGGCGAAGGCGGCCCCCUGGACAAAGACUGACGCUCGGGUGCGAAAGCGUGGGGAGCAAACAGGAUUAGAUACCCCAGUAGUC